GGUGUUAAGUGGUGGUAGCACGUGAUUGGCCCGAGGAAUUAUAGACACACUGAUCCUAUCCAGCAGCUACCCACAAUUCAAAGCAUUAAACAACUGAAGUUCAGGCAACAAUACACCAUUUAUGUUUACCUGUGGACUUAGAAAAAGUUGAGAGCGCUGUGCAUUCCCAGGCCUAUUGUGGCGUUAUUAUUAAUUUCCGACAAGUAGUGUAAUCAUUAGAAAUGAUCUGAAUAGUGAGAAGAACAAAAUGAGGUAGGUUAUUACCACGUAGUGUGUAAUGGCUUAAACUAUAAUAAAACCGUCCUUUCUUCUUAGCUCCAGCAUCGGCGCCAAAAUAUUCUUUAAUCCUUUAAAGACUCCCCACUAAAGAAGUACAUCCUGGAGGGUCAUACCCGCGCCCUGGGCAACGGGUCUUCCCUUGUCAUUGCGGUUUGGGGACACAAUAUUCCAGAAGUGCCCCCUCUCCUGCAGGAUUCAUUCAUCAUAGGGGAUUGGACAGUCACCUGCCGGCGUGUUGAGAGGGGUGGUAAUCCCCCUCCCAAUAUGCCAAGGUGAGCCCCCUUGGUGAGGAUAUGACCUUACCAGAAAUAUGCAGCUCUACUAAAGCCAGGGACGGGUUGCCUUGAUCCCCCCGCCCCAUCUUUCACGCUCCACCUUGAGUCGUUAGGUCAAGCUCAAGGUCACUGGUGACCUGCCCUCGGCUGUGUAUAUAGGUCAUCUGGUGUACUCGCCUCGUCCCUACAUGCUGCCUAUCCUGAGGUGCCCCGCAUGCCAACGCCUUGGCCAAUCCAUUAACACUUGCCGCUCAGCGAUCCGCUGCUCAUCCCUGUGGACCAUCUCCAUAUAAAGGCCCGCGUCACCUAGUAUUGCAAGGUGACAAUCUCCAACAACAACAGCAGCUCACGCUGUAGUAGCCCCCACACAUCCAAAAGGAACUGACGCCACCUCGUCCAUCCAGCUCCUCUUCCAAGAGUACGUUGGCUGUACCGGCCUCUUCUAGACUGGUGGAUCCCUCCAUCCCCUUCAGUCAUGGUCACCUCAAAUAACCGUUACAAGUCCCUGCAAGACCUGCUCGAGGAAGAGUAUACAUCUGGCAAUCACCAUCACCUGCUGCAUAACCUCCACCGUCUCUCUCUCUCUUUAAAAUUUAUGGCCUAUCUUCCCCUUUGUACAUUUAGUAGUAGUACAGUAAAUAAUGUUUGUUUCUUUGGUACUUCGUAAUUGCACUCUACCCUUACCGAAUGACUCUCUCCCCCUCCACCUCUCAAUAUUCACGGGUUGCAGUUGCAAUUUUGUACUUAUAUUAAUUAUGGAGGAAAAAUGUAUCACUUUAAAGAAACAAAUACGAGUGUCUCGCCGUCAUUUUUAUGCCUAAAGUUUGUGGAUUUCAGGAAGAGAAGUGCUGUAACUAUUAAAAUCAGACUCAUUUUCCUUUCUUCCUCUUAUUUUCCUUCCUUCAUUUCAAUACAAUAAUAGCUUAGCCAAGGGCUAUCUGUCUGAUUCUAUCUAUGGUGGCAUAGUUGGGGAGGGGGUUGAGUGGGUGGUGCAGGGGGGAAGGGGGCCCCAGCUUGCAAAAGGUUGAGAACCCCUGAUACAUAGCAAUAUAUUCUUGAUUAAACAUUGCAUUGAAGUCAGCUGGCAGUUGAUGUGCUGUGGCAUCUAGCUUGUGAGACUUGUACUGCAGCAGCUAACACAUCAGGUAGCAGCACAAGGCAGGGAUGACACCCUCCACUCGGCUCUACCUGACGUGAGACCCAGCAACGAGGCACCACCAUCUUUGAUUACAGACAACAUGGCAAUAACAGCACCAGGUAGGGAGGACACCCAGCACUGGCUGUAGACACCCUAUACUUGGCUCUUCCUGAUGUCAGAUCUUGCAAUGAAGUAGCAUCAGCCUUGAUUGCAGACAGGAUGGCAGCAGUAGCAACAGGCUGGAAGACUCAGCAGUAGACACCCUCCAUUUGCUUCUUCAUGAUUUUGGAUCCUGUGAUGAGGUGAGGCACCACCAGAAGUGUAUCUAUAUACCAGACCAGCAGUCCUACAUAGGGAGGUCGAGAUAAGGUACCAUACAUUCACACAUGCACACAUACACGCACACAGAUGAGCAAGAUUGUGAAUACCAUAACAUAUUAACAUCUUUCCAUUCUGACAUCACCUCUUGAGUGCGUCUUGUUGAGCUUGAAGAUGUUGAACCAUUCAUUGAGCUCCUUGCAUACAUCCUCAAAAUGCUGAACCAAUCCACCACGCUAUGUUGAUGAAACUCAGUUUGCCCUUCUCCAUCUUCAGCAUCUCCUCUCGUAUUCAAUCAACCUCCUCAGUUGUUUGUAGCACCAGCCCUCUCUGGGUCUCUGCAUGACACCCACGUCCUUCGUUUCGCACCGACUUCACAGCAUCCACCACAUUCCUCGUGGUCUCUUCUUCUCCGACAUACUCCAGACCAUUUCUUCCUUGGAUGAUCAACAUCUUGUCCCUCAUGUUGGCUGCUUCUUCCACACUCUUCCUGAUGUCAGUAAUCUUCACACCAUUUAAGCUGGUGCAGCUGCUCCCUCUCAUCAUGCACUUGACAUGGCUGGACAUUAUCUUAAUGCUGUUGCCACCAAUCUUAAUCAGUGCCUUUCUCUGCCUUAUCUUCAUGGUCUGCCAGUUUGGUCUUGGCUGGGGGUUCUCACUGCCAGGACACUUUCAUGUCUGAUGGGCUGGGGUUCAACAAGAUCUAUCCCUAUUACAUUCUAUUUCUUCUUGUCUGCUACUCUGCAGUUGUAGGCACUGCUAUCCCUUCAUACAUUUGAUAAACGUUCAUUCCAAAUGUUCCAAUCUCAAACCAAUUCAUACCUCUCACCUUUCAUUUCCUUUACCCCAGCUCCAACCUAUUUCUUCAUCCAUUGCUACUACAGACCCAAAAUAAUUGAAAGUCUACUUCCCAACUGCUCACCAUUCAGCCUUACAUUCAUCCUACUACCCAUCUCCCUGGACCCCCUAAAAAGAAAUUUCUCAUUAAAUAUAAAAAAAAACCUACCUUCCCAAUUAUUUUUACACAUACACAGACAAGAUUACCUAAUAAUGAAUAGAACUGCAGUAUGGAGAAUGAAGCCUGCAAAUUUCAUAGGCAAUUAGAUUUUGGUCAUAAAUACAAGAUAAACAUACCACAGUAAGAUUUAUUUAAUACAGUUGCUGUGGUUUACCCAUUGUGGACUUGAGGUGAAGAGAACGAACAUUCUGCCAGUGCUUCUUAAGGAGGGACACCAAGAAGUUCAUUGCCAGGUAAAUGUUCUGCACCAAUUCAUCGGGACCCAUUGUCACGUGCCCAAUGCAGACAGAGAGGCACAACAC